rnacentral:tRNA from 1 species
GGGGCAGUGGCUUAGUGGUAGAGCGCUUGCCUAGCAUGCGUGAGGCACUGGGUUCAAUUCUCAGCACCA